UUGAUUUAUAAUAAUCACAUCAAAAAAGAUCAAACAAAUUAUAUAUUUUCCUCAUUCUUGGGAUCUCGAUGGUGUCUCCAAAUAUCCAAUGCUUUAUUAGGCGAGAAGACAUAGUACAAUGGUAGAUUCUUCAAUAACAUAUAUAUACACCUAACAAAAUCUAGAAACGCAAUAACGUCUUUAUACAUACUCGGCAAUGUAAUAAUAAUUAAGACUUGUGAGUAACUUUGGACUCGAAUUUGAUUGAUUCUAUUAUAUACAUAUACUGCACUACAUACACAGAGAAUAAAACCUUAUAAUAAUAAUUGUCUUUUGGGGCCAAUUG
rnacentral:lncRNA from 1 species